GCUUUGUUUACCUAAGCAAGCCUGGGCAAUGGCGAGCGCCCCUCCCCCAGCCUCGCUGCUGCGUUGCAGUUUGAUCUCAGACUGCUGUGCUAGCAAUCAGCAAGACUCCGUGCGCACAGGACCCUCCGAGCCAGCCUGUUGCAAACUGGUUACCACAAAUAUCCAUGCUGAGCUGACUUCCCAAUGUCUAGUGUAGAAAAUGCCUGCUGCAAUUUACCCUUCUACUUGUGGUUGAGUUCACGCUGUUCUGAGAACCCUCUGAUGUUGAAGUGGCUGCUGUAGAUUCUGACUGGAGCAAGAAUGACUUCUAAGUUGUAUGUGACCUAAAAACAGCUCCCCUACUGAACAGAAGAUACUGACUUUUAUGUUUCCCCCGUAUGGCAAUAUCAAACAUACUGUUUGUCAGUAGCACCCUUUGUCUUCCCUGUACAGCCAUUUCAUGCUUUCCUCUUUGCAGCAUACUCAUUCUAGAAUGCUAUUUAACUAUGUUUUUAGUUAAUAAAUGUCCAGCCAAAUGGAUGAGUAGAUGAAUUAUUCCAGACAUGAGCUGGUAACAUGUUAAUAUGUUCCUUUGCGGCUUUGUUGAGCUUAACUGUGGUGAAUUUUAUAUUCUUUCAGAUUUAAAAUAAGCCCAGCCUCUGUUUUUAAAAAUUAUGUAUAAUGGGAAAGUAUUUGAUCAUUUUCAAAUGAGAUAUGCCAAUCACUAGACAAUAAUUCUAAGUAGACAUUCAUACAAAAAUGAUAAAUAUCUGUAUUUAAUGAAUAAGAACAAAAAUCUUAGGAAAACAGAGCACCAAGGAUAUCAAAGAUUAAUCUCCAGUAAUUUGGUGUUGACAUAGCUGAAGAAUAAUAUCACUAUUGACUGAAACAUAUAAUGUCCUUAGCGAAUAGCUUGUCAGGACUAAUAUAAUCAAAUACAAAAUUGAUACAAGGAAUCAUGACCCUACAUCUCAAACACCACUCUGGGCUUCUGCCACCCAGAGGAAAGUAAUUAAUUAAUUUCAGCUGGAGAAUGUCUUCUUGUCUGUAAUUAACAAUAUGUGCACCUACCACAUUCUAAUCCUCCACUGUGCUGAGGAAGUACAAGGUGAUUAGUGAAGGCAAAUUGCAAACACACCUCUUGGUUGCUUCUUCUUCCACCUCAAACUCUCUCAUCCUCCCACCCCAUCCGACUUCCCUUGUCAAGUAUUAAAU
rnacentral:lncRNA from 10 species